AGUUCCAAUGGGGUAGAUGGCUGGAUCAACUUUGCACGGUUGGCCUUUUCUGGGACUUGCCUGUUGCUCACUCCCUCCUCAUUCUCCAGUCCCAGGGCAUUGUAUCUCUUUCCUAAGGGCACUGCAAGGGGGAAGAGGAAAGUCCCUCCUCCUGCCCCAAGCACAGGUGAGAAUCUGGUCUCCUUUGUCUUCUGAGUUAGUCAAGUCAAUCAGUUCAGGGCUGGAAGCAAACGUACCUUCCUCUUGCCUUAAGAACCUUCCCAAAGAAAUUGAUCUAUCCUUCCUACUGAAAACUCAAGACAGAUAGGAUGUUUUUCAAAAAGACUUUUAGAGAUCCCAUCAAUAUUGGAAUAAAACCAGAAAAAAGACAA